rnacentral:rRNA from 1 species
UAGGGAAUCUUCGGCAAUGGACGAAAGUCUGACCGAGCAACGCCGCGUGAGUGAAGAAGGUUUUCGGAUCGUAAAACUCUGUUGUUAGAGAAGAACAAGGACGUUAGUAACUGAACGUCCCCUGACGGUAUCUAACCAGAAAGCCACGGCUAACUACGUGCCAGCAGCCGCGGUAAUACGUAGGUGGCAAGCGUUGUUCGGAUUUAUUGGGCGUAAAGCGAGCGCAGGCGGUUUCUUAAGUCUGAUGUGAAAGCCCCCGGCUCAACCAGGGAGGGUCAUUGGAAACUGGGAGGCUUGAGUGCAGGAGAGGAGAGUGGAAUUACAUGUGUAGCGGUGAAAUGCGUAGAUAUAUGGAGGAACACCAGUGGCGAAGGCGGCUCUCUGGUCUGUAACUGACGCUGAGGCUCGAAAGCGUGGGGAGCAAACAGG